UUGAUCCUGGCUCAGGACGAACGCUGGCGGCGUGCCUAAUACAUGCAAGUCGAACGAACUCUGGUAUUGAUUGGUGCUUGCAUCAUGAUUUACAUUUGAGUGAGUGGCGAACUGGUGAGUAACACGUGGGAAACCUGCCCAGAAGUGGGGGAUAACAUUUGGAAACAAGUGCUAAUACCGCAUAACAACUUAGAUCACAUGAUCUUUGUUUAAAAGAUGGUUUUGCUAUCUCUUCUGGAUGGACCCGCGGCGUAUUAGCUAGUUGGUGAGGUAAUAGCUCACCAAGGCGAUGAUACGUAGCCGACCUGAGAGGGUAAUCGGCCACAUUGGGACUGAGACACGGCCCAAACUCCUACGGGAGGCAGCAGUAGGGAAUUUUCCGCAAUGGGCGCAAGCCUGACGGAGCAACGCCGCGUGAGUGAUGAAGGCUUUCGGGUCGUAAAACUCUGUUGUUAGGGAAGAACAAGUGCUAGUUGAAUAAGCUGGCACCUUGACGGUACCUAACCAGAAAGCCACGGCUAACUACGUGCCAGCAGCCGCGGUAAUACGUAGGUGGCAAGCGUUAUCCGGAAUUAUUGGGCGUAAAGCGCGCGCAGGUGGUUUUUUAAGUCUGAUGUGAAAGCCUUCGGCUCAACCGAAGAAGUGCAUCGGAAACUGGGAAACUUGAGUGCAGAAGAGGACAGUGGAACUCCAUGUGUAGCGGUGAAAUGCGUAGAUAUAUGGAAGAACACCAGUGGCGAAGGCGGCUGUCUGGUCUGUAACUGACGCUGAGGCUCGAAAGUAUGGGUAGCAAACAGGAUUAGAUACCCUGGUAGUCCAUACCGUAAACGAUGAAUGCUAAGUGUUGGAGGGUUUCCGCCCUUCAGUGCUGCAGCUAACGCAUUAAGCAUUCCGCCUGGGGAGUACGGCCGCAAGGCUGAAACUCAAAGGAAUUGACGGGGGCCCGCACAAGCGGUGGAGCAUGUGGUUUAAUUCGAAGCUACGCGAAGAACCUUACCAGGUCUUGACAUACUAUGCAAAUCUAAGAGAUUAGACGUUCCCUUCGGGGACAUGGAUACAGGUGGUGCAUGGUUGUCGUCAGCUCGUGUCGUGAGAUGUUGGGUUAAGUCCCGCAACGAGCGCAACCCUUAUUAUCAGUUGCCAGCAUUAAGUUGGGCACUCUGGUGAGACUGCCGGUGACAAACCGGAGGAAGGUGGGGAUGACGUCAAAUCAUCAUGCCCCUUAUGACCUGGGCUACACACGUGCUACAAUGGAUGGUACAACGAGUUGCGAACUCGCGAGAGUAAGCUAAUCUCUUAAAGCCAUUCUCAGUUCGGAUUGUAGGCUGCAACUCGCCUACAUGAAGUCGGAAUCGCUAGUAAUCGCGGAUCAGCAUGCCGCGGUGAAUACGUUC
rnacentral:rRNA from 1 species